rnacentral:rRNA from 1 species
UACGAAGGGGGCUAGCGUUGCUCGGAAUUACUGGGCGUAAAGGGCGCGUAGGCGGGUCGUUAAGUUGGGGGUGAAAGCCCAGGGCUCAACCCUGGAAUUGCCUUCAAUACUGGCGACCUUGAGUAUGGCAGAGGUGUGUGGAACUCCGAGUGUAGAGGUGAAAUUCGUAGAUAUUGGGAAGAACACCGGUGGCGAAGGCGGCUCUCUGGACCGAUACUGACGCUGAGGCGCGAAAGCGUGGGGAGCAAACAGG